rnacentral:rRNA from 1 species
UAGGGAAUAUUGGGCAAUGGGCGCAAGCCUGACCCAGCGACGCCGCGUGAGGGAUGAAGGUCUUCGGAUUGUAAACCUCUUUCAGUGGGGAAGAAGCGAAAGUGACGGUACCCAAAGAAGAAGCACCGGCUAACUAUGUG